CCAAAUUGUAGUGCGGGGUUGAAGACCUG
rnacentral:piRNA from 1 species